ACCUUCGUGGUGUAAUGGUCAGCACAUUCGGCGCGUAUUCGAGAGGUCUAAGGUUCGAGUCCCGGCGAAGGCA
rnacentral:tRNA from 1 species